UACGGGGGGGGCAAGCGUUGUUCGGAAUUACUGGGCGUAAAGGGCUCGUAGGUGGCCAACUAAGUCAGACGUGAAAUCCCCAGGCUCAACUUGGGAACUGCGUCUGAUACUGGAUGGCUUGAAUUCGGGAGAGGGAUGCAGAAUUCCAGGUGUAGCGGUGAAAUGCGUAGAUAUCUGGAGGAAUACCGGUGGCGAAGGCGGGUAGCUGGGCCAACACUGACGCUAAAGUGCGAAAGCUAGGGGAGCAAACGGG
rnacentral:rRNA from 1 species